UCAAUUCCCUAGGCGCCCAUUAUCCUUAUCCCUUCAUCUUCACAUCCAUAUUUUAUUUCUCUCUCACUCUCUCACCUCGGAUCGUCUGUUUUUUUUCUACUUCGCAGUAAUACCUCACCUCCUUCUUUUUCUCUCUGCAAGUUUACAUAAUUGUUCUCUCGACCGACUCUGAAUUGUUUCAAUCAGAUCACUUGAAAAAGAAAAUUCAAUUAAAACUAAAUUUCGUAAAACCCAAAUUUUUUCUUCAGCUCUAGUAUGCUGUCUGGGUUUGAAGAUUCAAUAUGAACAGGAUUUAUUAUAAGACCUAUUAUCAUCCUCACUUGGACUUCUCAACAUUUUCAGGUACAAAUCCCCUGAAAAUUUUGUACCAGUUCACUAAGGUGUGAUAAACAAAAGGGUUCAUAUAAGAUGCAAGUCUACUAACUCUGUUGAAGAAAUCUGAGCUCUGGACAAGCUCAGGGACCUAGAGGAGGAGGAGUAGGGACGCAGACACUAACAACCAACGAUUCCCUAGCCUAUCUCAAAGAUGUAAAUGACAUGUUUCACGAUAGGAAAGACAAAUAUGAUGAGUUCUUGGAAGUUAUGUAAGAUUUUAAGGCUCAAAGGUCUGAUUGUCUUUCCGUAUACUUGUUUUAAAUUCCACAAAAUUCAUUCUUGGGGUGUUUUAAGGGCGAAAAUUUACUAUUUUCCUGAGAACGUUCUGGUGUAGGAGAUUGCUGACCGGGGAAGAAGGACUCACAUCGUUAAUGAUGCCCGACCCCGUGUAGAAACAAAAUAAGUUUCAGAAUCCAUCGAUAGAUCAAAGGUCAUUAUUGUUUAUUGCUUUCAGAAUUGACACAACCGGGGUUAUAGCUAUGGGGAGGAGUUUUUUAAAGAGCAUAGAAACCUUAUUUUGGGUUUCAGUACCUUUUUUACCUGAAAGUUAUGAGAUAACCCUCCCACUUGAGGACGAGCAACAACCUAAUAAACUUGUAGAAUUCGAUGAAGCCAUUAACUUCGUUAACAAAAUAAAGAUGGUGACCAGGUUUACAAAUCUUUCCUAGAUAUACUGAAUCUGUACCGGAAAGAAAACAAGUCCAUCGCUAAGGUUUAUGUCUAGGUAGCUGAUCUUUUCCACCAUCAUCAAGACUUGCUCAAGGAAUUCAAACAUUUCCUACCAGACACAGACUCUACGCAGCACGCUCUAUCGGGCAAAAAUUAAUCUUAUCCUCGACCUCAUGAGAGAAGCUCUGUUGUUACUGCUUCAAGGCAAUUGCAUGGGGACAAGAUAACUUUCUGACUCUUUAAUCUAAAUUAUUUAUGCUUUCUGAAUCCUCAAGCUAGUGUUUUGUUUACUUGCACUACCAGCAGAGGGAAAGAACCACAACAUAUCAUGUUGAGCGUGUUCUCAGUGUGGACCGACCUGAUCCUGACCAUGAAAAAGUAAUGGACAAGGAGCGUCGGAAAUGUCCCAACAAGGAGAAGAAGAGAAAAGGAGAUCGUGAUCAUGUUGAUAAGGAUCUUGAGCACAAACGAAAGUCUAGGAGGGGUGAAGACACCAAUGACCUUUUCUCCAAGAUGGGGAAGGUCCAUAUGAUGGCUAAACUGCCUUAAAGAGUGAGACAUUGGAUAUGCACUAUGGUGCUUACACCCAAGAGUUUUUUUUCUGUGAAAAAGUCAAGGAGAUGCUAGGAAAUUCUGGUUUAUACCAAGAAUACCUUAAAUUCCUGAACAUGGUGGUGAUAGUAUGGAAAUCCAGUUCGAAGAAUUAGCACAAAAUCCUGAUAUACUAUCAUUGCAACUCCUGGUAGGACGUUGCAUCAUUUGUCAGAGAUUGACGACAUGUCCUUACGCACUUUAGAAUAUAUGGUGUUUGCUGAAGCUGAUUCUCUUUUUGGCAUGGGAUUUGUUGAGCAGUUGCAUAGAUGUUUUUCCCUUGUUGAAGAUUUUCCACUUAGAUUAUCCUCUAGUCAUUUCGUUUUUGAUGAAAUUCUAUUACAUUUCCUAACUAACUAAAACAUUUUUUUUCUGUAGAUAGGCUGGCUCAAUUGAGGGCAUAUGUGGUGUAAAUCAUUUGGGUGAUAGCUAUCAAUAUAUAUAUUAUGUCAUGUUUCUUAAGUUUCCUUGUUUAUUAUUGUUUGUUAGAUACAGAUAGCUACUAGGCUAGUAAUAGUAUGUUGGAUUUCAGCUUUCACAGUUUGCCUGAUAACUUUAUGUGGUCACUGCAGGUUCAUCACACAUUUACAACAACUGGAUCAGAUGGUGCCUUCAAUUUUGCGACAAGGAUAGAAAACAAAGACUCAAGGUAUCCUUGUCAAUGGUAUCGACGACAAUGAUGGUGCUACGAACUAAAGAUGUUUGAAGUUCGAAGAGUUGGAUGAGCUUCAAGAUCGAGAAGUUGGAGAUUGGACUACUUAUGUUGUAAUUGUUGAUGCAUAAUUUGACAAGAGUUAGAUGAGCUUCAAGAUCGAAAAGUUGGAGAUUGGACUACUUAAGUUGUAAUUGUUGAUGUAUAAUUUGAAAAGAGAGCAAAUAAGCAGGUCAGAAGUAAAAUAAUCCAACAUCUAUGAUCAAUGGGGGUACAAAGUACACCAUUAUGAAGUAGGAAUAAGUUCAUCAUCAUCGGAGUCUAUAAUUUUGCGGUUUAAUCAAUAGUUUUUUAGUUCAUCGUUUUAUAAUCGAAUCCUAGAACUACAGAUUCUAAUCCUUCGUGUAAUUUGAAACAAUGAAUCAAUGGAUGUUAAAUUGAAUGAUUAUUUGUGUGCAAGUUUAAUUUGAUUCUCAUUUGAAUUCUCAUUUGAGUUUCAUUUGAUUCUCAUUUGAAUUCUAAUUUGAGUUUCAUUUUA